GAAGAAAAGAAAAAAAAAAAAGAAGAACGAAGAAGAAGACAGAGGAGAGGGUGGAGCGGUGGAGACGAACGACGGAGCUUGAGGCGCUCGUUAGCGACGGUGGGCCGAACGGUUGAGGAAGGAAGUACACCGACAGUUAUUGUCGAGGGAAGUUAGUGAGUCCUUGUGAAGAAGAAGACAUGGACUAUUGAGAGGAAAGAAAGAUCAAGAAGGAGGUGGGAAGAAGAGGCUGAAAACUGAGGGGGCACAACUUGACCCGCCCCGACCCACCUGAAAAUUUCAAGCUUAUUCAAGGGACACUUGAAGACUCGAUUAAGUUUUGGAAGUCUACGAUCAGGAGAAAAGUAGAUCCAGGUUGGCGGGGACGUGUGAAGUCGUGCAGCUGCAGAAGGGGGGCCCUCAGAUUGAGUCCUCUUCUCCCAUGUCGUUUUGGUUAUGAUUUUUGACGUUUUUGAAAACCUACUAUAUUUAUGUGACCUCGCAGAUCUUCGUUAUGUGUUUUAUAUUUUAUUUUGAAAUGUAUAUCAGACAACUUUUAAC